rnacentral:rRNA from 1 species
UACGAAGGGUGCAAGCGUUAAUCGGAAUUACUGGGCGUAAAGCGUGCGCAGGCGGUUGGGCGGGUCGAUGGUGAAAUCCCCGGGCUCAACCUGGGAAUUGCAUUUGUGACUGCACGGCUAGAGUGUGUCAGAGGGGGGUAGAAUUCCACGUGUAGCAGUGAAAUGCGUAGAUAUGUGGAGGAAUACCGAUGGCGAAGGCAGCCCCCUGGGAUAACACUGACGCUCAUGCACGAAAGCGUGGGGAGCAAACAGG